rnacentral:rRNA from 1 species
GAUGAACGCUGGCGGCGUGCCUAAUACAUGCAAGUCGAGCGAACGGACGAGAAGCUUGCUUCUCUGAUGUUAGCGGCGGACGGGUGAGUAACACGUGGAUAACCUACCUAUAAGACUGGGAUAACUUCGGGAAACCGGAGCUAAUACCGGAUGAUAUUUUGAACCGCAUGGUUCAAAAGUGAAAGACGGUCUUGCUGUCACUUAUAGAUGGAUCCGCGCUGCAUUAGCUAGUUGGUAAGGUAACGGCUUACCAAGGCAACGAUGCAUAGCCGACCUGAGAGGGUGAUCGGCCACACUGGAACUGAGACACGGUCCAGACUCCUACGGGAGGCAGCAGUCGGGAAUCUUCCGCAAUGGGCGAAAGCCUGACGGAGCAACGCCGCGUGAGUGAUGAAGGUCUUCGGGUCGUAAAGCUCUGUUAUUAGGGAAGAACAUAUGUGUAAGUAACUGUGCACAUCUUGACGGUACCUAAUCAGAAAGCCACGGCUAACUACGUG